GUACAAGUCGCUCUCUUCCUCAGUGAAGCAUAAGUCAAGGUUGUUAAUAAUACAAAGAGUAAAUUAUAGAGUAUAAGGGCUAUAUGCAAGGCUAUGUGUAUAAAUUUUCCA